UACGUAGGGUGCGAGCGUUGUCCGGAAUUAUUGGGCGUAAAGAGCUUGUAGGCGGUUUGUCGCGUCUGCUGUGAAAUUUCGGGGCUCAACCCCGAACUUGCAGUGGGUACGGGCAGACUAGAGUGUGGUAGGGGAGACUGGAAUUCCUGGUGUAGCGGUGAAAUGCGCAGAUAUCAGGAGGAACACCUAUGGCGAAGGCAGCUCGCUGGGACGGUACUGACGCUGAGACGCGAAAGCGUGGGGAGCAAACAGG
rnacentral:rRNA from 1 species